rnacentral:rRNA from 1 species
ACGAGUUUGAUCAUGGCUCAGAUUGAACGCUGGCGGCAGGCUUAACACACGCAAGUCGAGCGGAGACUUCGGUCUUAGCGGCGAACGGGUGAGUAAUACCUAGGAAUCUGCCUAUUAGUGGGGGAUAACGAAUCGAAAGGUUCGCUAAUACCGCAUACGUCCUACGGGAGAAAGGGGGGGAUCUUCGGACCUCUCGCUAAUAGAUGAGCCUAGGCCGGAUUAGCUAGUUGGUAGGGUAAAGGCCUACCAAGGCGACGAUCUGUAGCUGGUCUGAGAGGAUGGCCAGCCACACUGGAACUGAGACACGGUCCAGACUCCUACGGGAGGCAGCAGUGGGGAAUAUUGGACAAUGGGGGCAACCCUGAUCCAGCCAUGCCGCGUGUGUGAAGAAGGCCUUCGGGUUGUAAAGCACUUUAAGCGAGGAGGAAGGUUUUUAGUUUAAUACACUAAAGAAUUGACGUUACUCGCAGAAUAAGCACCGGCUAACUCUGUG